rnacentral:lncRNA from 1 species
UCUUGAUCGCGGCGUAAGUACGGAGUAUCUUCUUUGGAUAAUCGAAUGUUGAGGUCAACCUUAACUGAGAAUGGAGGAAGGUCAUCAAAUUGAUCAAAAUCUUCUGACUUGUUCGAAAUGUCCUCAACCUCAACGAUUUUUCUUUUCCCUGAAAGAACUAUGUGGUGUUUUGGCUCAUCUUCUGACUUAUUAGCGCCCUUCUUGGGUUUGCCUGACAUGUCCUUCACAUAGAAAACCUGAGUCACAUCCUAGGCUAAAAUGAAUUGUUUUUCUCUAUAUCCAAUCUUGUUAAGGUCCACUAUUGUCAUCCCAUACCGGUCUAUCGUUAC